rnacentral:rRNA from 1 species
UACGUAGGGGGCAAGCGUUGUCCGGAUUUAUUGGGCGUAAAGAGCGUGUAGGCGGCUAUGCAGGUCCGCUGUGAAAACUCGAGGCUCAACCUCGAGACGUCGGUGGAAACCGCAUGGCUAGAGUCCGGAAGGGGAGAGUGGAAUUCCCGGUGUAGCGGUGAAAUGCGCAGAUAUCGGGAAGAACACCCGUGGCGAAGGCGGCUCUCUGGGACGGUACUGACGCUGAGACGCGAAAGCGUGGGGAGCGAACAGG